UACAGAGGUCUCACGCGUUGUUCGGAUUCAUUGGGCGUAAAGGGUGCGUAGGCGGCGCGGUAAGUCGGGUGUGAAAUCUCGGAGCUUAACUCCGAAACUGCAUUCGAUACUGCCGUGCUUGAGGACUGGAGAGGAGACUGGAAUUUACGGUGUAGCGGUGAAAUGCGUAGAUAUCGUAAGGAAGACCAGUGGCGAAGGCGGGUCUCUGGGACGGUACUGACGCUGAGACGCGAAAGCGUGGGGAGCGAACAGG
rnacentral:rRNA from 1 species